UAGCAACCCAACCUAGGGCGAUCUCUGCAGAUCCAUACAAACCUACCGAGAUCUCAGGUUCAGUGCUUGUACUGAGCAAGGGCGUCAGGAAACAGCUGGCCUGUCUCCUUUCUCUCCCCUCAGCCGUCCUGUCACUGUCCCCGGACAGCCUAUCCGUUCCAGGUUCUCUGCCCCACACUGAUUAAGUUCCAAGUGAACUGCAAAGAUUUCUGUUUUUCUUUAACAAGAGGAAGGAUCUUGAUUAAUUAUGUAAUACUGUAUUUCCUGAAUAUGGACACUGUCUUUUACAUAUCUAAGAAAAUAAGGCUAGAGAGAAUUCCAAUGCAGAGUGUGGGAAGCUCUGCUGAAGUCUGUUCUGAGGUGUCUCUUAGCUGAUGAAAGGAUUUUCCUCUGUUCUGGCUGAAGGCAUGGCAUUCUUCUAGACUUGCAUAUUCAUCACGUUCACCCAAGACUUCCUUUGCUGGUGCCGAUCGCAGUGUACGUGGAAGGUUCUUGUCUUUGGUGAGAGUUUACGCCAGGCUGUCUCGGCUGCCUCCUGCAGACUUUGUGACUGUUCCGAGGGCUUUAGCUCUGGAUUUCUGUGACUCUUUCAGACAGAUUCCUUUUAUCUCCAUUUUGCUCCAAGUUUUGAAAUGCCUGUGCCACUUGGGUUAUUUCACAGAUGCUCAGUGAAGAAGAUGGAAAAGGGAAUUCAAAAAUACAAUCUGACCCAAAGUGAAAUUGUCAGCUUUUAAAGAAAGAAAGGUGAUUCGAUGUGCUGUGUGGCAUAAACAGAAGUUGAACAUGAUGUGGGGCAUCUUGAAUUUGUUGAUCUUAAGCACAAACUGUCCCAAACUGACAAUGGAGUAAGCAUCCAGAGACUGAGGCUGCCCCAUGAAUGCCCUGUGAUGACCGAAAGCUCCACUUCAGUGCUCUCCGAUAGGGAGCCACUGGUCACAUCAGCUACUGAGCACUUGAGACGUGGCCAGUGUGACUGAGGAACUCAAUUGUCAGUAUUAUUUGAUAUGAAUUAAUUUGUCUGUAAAUUGCCAUCUGCAGCUAGUGACCAUCCUAUUGUAUGGCGAAGCUCUAGAUCUGGUCUAGAAGGAGUCUGAGGUCCUGUGAAACACUUGGCACUACGUCAGAACAAAGCAUCCUGUCUAGGAUAUCCUCAGAGUCAGCACCAGCAGCUCAGUUCCACCCCAGCCACUGUGGAGGUGACACAGUGGUGAGCAGCAUGUGACCCCUCUUUUUCCUGAGGACAGGAAAGCCCAGCUGUGUGGCUUCCUUGCCUCACCUGAGCAGAACGUGGAAGGUGGAUCCCCCACUGUCUCUACUGGGGACCAUCAGCCAGAAAAAGUACCCAUGCUGGAGAGAAUUGGAGUUAAGUCAAUCUGGAAGUUAUUUUCUACUUAUCUAUCUAAGAGAUUCAAAAACUAGUGUUUCCUCGAGAAUGGUGUCAUCAAGCACAAGAUAAUGAGGAAGAUUGCCUAAUUCAGGAAAAAAUAUGGAGAGAUAAAACCCCACAUUGCAAUCACAUGUAAUUGGGUGAAAGCAAACGCUCCUAUUCUCUGCUGAUCCCCCGACAGAUCUCUCCUUUAGAUGCUCUGCUUACAUUAUCUCAUUUAAAACCUGCUACAGUAAAAUAAGGUACCAUGUAUGUAGUAAGCAUUUACUAAAUGCCAAUGAGGAAACAAGCUAAAAAGCGUAAGUUGGAUUCAAGCCAAACAGGUCUAGUUGCAAAGCC
rnacentral:lncRNA from 1 species